UACGAAGGGGCUAGCGUUGCUCGGAAUCACUGGGCGUAAAGGGUGCGUAGGCGGGUCUUUAAGUCAGGGUGAAAUCCUGGAGCUCAACUCCAGAACUGCCUUUGAUACUGGCGAUCUCGAGUUCGGGAGAGGUGAGUGGAACUGCGAGUGUAGAGGUGAAAUUCGUAGAUAUUCGCAAGAACACCAGUGGCGAAGGCGGCUCACUGGCCCGAUACUGACGCUGAGGUGCGAAAGCGUGGGAGC
rnacentral:rRNA from 1 species